UCACUAGAAAAAAUUUCAGAGUACCGCAUUUGUUUUCCCCGCGCCGCCGCCGCGUUCAUUGGCCCAACCGUACCAUGUGACCUCCGGGGUGCCAUAUACCUUCCAAGCGCCGGGCGGGCCGCCUGAGUUAAAGCGCAGGCAGCGCAGGUUCCCUACGUUUGUUAUUUGUGUUCAGAUUGUAGCGCUCGCGUUUGACUAAAGAAAUCAUGCCUGGUUGCUGUGCCUUCGGAUGCAGCAACCGAACCGAGUCUGGAAAGACUUUUUUCUCGAUUCCGAUUGGAAAAAAUGACCGAGAGCGUCGUUCUGCUUGGCUACAUAGAAUCGGCCGGGAUAACUUCAAGCCUACAAAAAACACCCGUGUGUGCGAGGACCACUUUUGUGCUGAAGACUUUGAGAAGCCUAGAGUGGAUGGGAAGAAGAGGCUAAAGUAUAAAGCUGUGCCAAGCAUUUUUGCACACCGUGUGACAAAGAAAACCAGAAAGCCACCAUUCGCCCGUCUUCCUAGUUCGCCAGCAAACAACUUGGCUGAAGAGGCUGAACCUGAAGGGGAAAACUUGCUAAUAGCUGCUGACAGCACAGCAGAUGGUCUGGACUCUUCAAAAGAGCAACAGGAGCAUACUGGAUCUGCUGAUGUGGCAACAGAAGUGCCAAAAACCUCAGAUGUUCAAGAGGAUGCAUCUCCCAACAUGUUCAAUGAAGUUGACACACUGAAGCGCCAACUUAACUUGGAAAGAAAAAAGCGUGCGAGGGUGGAAAUGGAGUGUGACGCCCUGAGAAGAUCAUUUAGUGGACUGCUUGCAGAAGAUCAGCUCCGUGU